GGCGCUGUGGCUUAGUUGGUUUAAGUGCUGUCUAGUAAACCGGAUAUCCUGGGUUCAAAUCCCAGUGGUGCCU